CCGCCGGCGACCGGCGCACGGGUGAGUAACACGUAUGCAACCUGGCCGUGACAGAUGGAUAACCGGGAGAAAUCCCGCCUAAUACAACAUAUUGCCGGGAGGGGACAUCCCCUGCCGGCCAAAGGGGGCGACCCCGGUCACGGAUGGGCAUGCGGCGCAUUAGGUAGUUGGUGGGGCAACGGCCCACCAAGCCGACGAUGCGUAGGGGUUCUGAGAGGAAGGUCCCCCACAUUGGAACUGAGACACGGUCCAAACUCCUACGGAAGGCAGCAG
rnacentral:rRNA from 1 species